GACGAACGCUGGCGGCGUGCUUAACACAUGCAAGUCGAGCGGUCCGGCAUUUAACAUUGAGUAUUCAGAGCUGAGUUGGCGAUUGAGCUGGCGUCAAGCAAAAACUUCCUUAAUAAUAUAAAUUAAAGUUUUUGCUUCACGUGCUAAAAGUGCCAACACAUGCGAAUCUGAGUAUUGAAUGUUAAAUGUCGGAUAGCGGCGGACGGGUGAGUAACGCGUGGGCAACCUGCCUCAUACAGGGGGAUAACACUGGGAAACUAGUGCUAAUACCGCAUAACAUAGAGAAGUGGCAUCACUUCACUAUCAAAGGAGCAAUCCGGUAUGAGAUGGGCCCGCGUCCGAUUAGCUAGUUGGUGAGGUAACGGCUCACCAAGGCGACGAUCGGUAGCCGAACUGAGAGGUUGAUCGGCCACAUUGGGACUGAGACACGGCCCAGACUCCUACGGGAGGCAGGCAGGUGGGGAAUAGUUGCGCAAGUGGGGGAAA
rnacentral:rRNA from 1 species